CACAGCUGUGUACAAAGUAUUGUAUCUGAUGUAACCAUAUCUAUUCAUAUUUUUUUCAUGUUGAUAUAUUACUAACCCACUGCCAAGCAGGACCUCUGUCUAAGUGAGGGGGAGAAAUUGAAUGCAUUGAGGUCAAGCUGUAACAUGUGAAGUGGACACAGCCUAUUGAAGCCACUGAGAACAGGAGCGGGAGCAGCUUCCUUCCCCGGCCUAAUACUUAAUGUAUGGCUUCCAUGUCUGCCCUAGAGGCAAAAGAAGAUUUCUUUACUGAGAUGCAAUCAGCUCUGGCCAAUCAGUAAUAAGGGUUAAUCAGCUGAUCGAUUGGUCCCUGAACAGCUUGGCCCUGGCUCCUUUCUGACUGGCCCUGGCCUGGCCUUCGGGCAAGAGGUUGGGAACUUUUAAUUAGCAGCAGCAGCAGCCACAGCAACUCUGCUGGCUGAAUGGUCAAUGGGUUCGCCACUGAGGCUGCUUGGCUUGAAUAAUAAUAGAACUCCACAGGAGAGAGAGCCAAAGCAAGAGGACAACAAAGACACUCGGUGAGAUGGAGCAUCAGAAGAUAAGGGGAGAACUGCCCACAACAGAACUCGCCAAAGACAUGUUUGGGGUUGGGUGCCCUUUGUCACUGCACCGCCACAAUUGUUGAAACUGUUGACCUGCACAAAACAAUACAUAACCUGUUUCUAUGUCCAGGGAGGAAUGUGUAUUGCAUACAAGGUGGCCAUUACUUGAAGCAACAUGGAAUGGAAAAUUCUACCAAGAAAACUGGUUUCUGACUUCAGUAACAUGAGAAAACAAAUGAGGGGGGUAAAGGGAGGUCAUGUCACUUUAGGGCUGAAUAUGUCAAAGACCAGCAAUGGCUUUUUCAAGCCUUCCAUUUAAUAAAUUAUCCAAAUAGAAGGAGAAAACGUGGAGGCAGUGACAGACUUUAUAUUUCUAGGCGCGAAGAUCACUGCAGAUGCAGACUGCAUCCAGGAAAUCAGAAGACGUUUACUUCUUGGGAGGAGAGCAAUGGCCAACCUUGACAAAAUAGUGAAGAGCAGAGACAUCACACUGACAACGAAGGUCCGCAUAGUCAAAGCAAUGGUAUUCCCCGUAGUAACUUAUGGAUGCAAGAGCUGGACCAUAAGGAAGGCUGAGCGAAGGAAGAUAGACGCUUUUGAACUCUGGUGCUGGAGGAAAAUCCUGAGAGUGCCUUGGACUGCAAGAAGAUCCAACCAGUCCAUCCUCCAGGAGAUAAUGCCCGGCUGCUCACUGGAGGGAAGGAUAUUAGAGGCAAAGCUGAAGUAUUUUGGCCACAUCAUGAGGAGACAGGAAAGCUUGGAAAAGGUCACGAUGCUGGAGAAAAUGGAAGGAAAAAGGAAGAGAGGUCGACCAAGGGCAAGAUGGAUAGACGGUAUCCUUGAAGUGACUGGCUUGACCUUGAAGGAACUGGGGGUGGCAAUGGCCGAAAGGGAGCUCUGGCGUGGACUGGUCCAUGAGGUCACAAAGAGUAGGAGACAACUAAACGACUGAGCAGCAGCAGCAGCAAGAUAUGGUUUUUUAAAAAAUGAUAUGUUGUUGUUAUGUGCCUUCAAGUUGUUUUUAGCUUAUGAUGGCCUAAGAUGAACCUUUCACAGGGUUUUCUGGGGCUUUUUUUAAUUUUGUAAGAAGCAACUUGAGAACAUACUGCAAACUGCUUCUGGUGUGAGAGAAUUGGCAGUCUACAGAGACAUUGCCCGAGGGAUGCCCGGAUGUGUUACUGGGAGGUGUCUCUCAUGUCCCCACAAGCUAGAGCUGACAAAUAGAAGCUUACCCCAUCUCGAGGGUUCGAACUAGGAAACUUCAGGUCAGCAACCCAAUCUUCAGGUUAGCAGUUCACUGAGAGUGUGCAACUUGCCUGAAGUCACCCAGUGGGUUUCCAUGACUAAGUGAGGGAUUGAACCCUGGUAUCCACAGAGUAGUCCAACAGAGUAUUUCAACACCAGGCAGCCUCUUUUUAAUUUCAGGUUAAAAAACCUAUAUUCAACCUAAAAUUAAAAAUGGCAACAUACUCAAAUACUGAAUAGAUGGUUCUGAUAAAGCUUGAUUUCAGGUCCACUGGUGAUGGUGUUAUGUGCCCUCAAGGAGACGCCAACUAGUGUUUUUUACAAGAUUUCCUCUGAGACCUCUUCCACAAAACUGAAUAAAAUACCACAUUAUCUGCUUUGAACUAGAAUAUAUGGCAGUGUGGACUCAGAUACCCCAGUCAAAGCAGAUAUUGUGGGAUUUUCUGCCUUGAUAUUUUGGGUUAUAUGGCUGUAUGGAAGGGCCCUGAGGCUGGAAGAGUAUGAUUUGCUCAAGGUCACCCAAUGAGUUUCCAUUCCUAAGGAGGGGUUUGAACCCUGAUCUCCUGAAAUCUUAGUCUACCAUGCACUACAUUUCCCUCUUUGCAUGAACAGGUUCAGUGCAUAUUACACUGAUAGAUUAGAGCAUUUGCACCUGGUUUUCAGAGUUAAUAUGGUAUGACAUGUUGGGUCAACACUCAUGCAAUGCAAAUCCAAAUUGCCACUGACCCACAAAACUUAUUGAGAGAUCUUGAGCCAACUUUUUUUCACAAACUGUUUUACCUCAUAAAUUUGUUAUGAAGAUAAAAAAAAAUAUUGGUAAAGACAGUUAUGUAUGUUGCCUUCAGCUCAUGGGAAGUUUGCCCAUCUGCAAUAAUUCUAUACACAACAUCAUCUUUUUUAAAUUUUGGUGUAUUGGGAGGCAGAGGGGCAUUCACACACUCAACACAAUUUUAUGCUUUACAUGUUUAGACAAAUGUCUAUUGUUGGUGAGAAAGAUCAAUUUAAAACCUGAUGUUUUCAAUUUAUACCUACUACUGGCAAAUUAUCUGUAUAUGUAAUGUAACAUUAGAUUAAUUUAUUGCUUACUAUGUAAUGUUAAGAUACAGUGGAACAGUUUGACUAAAAGAUGAACAUUAUGAAACCCCAGUACUUUUGACAGUUUAGCACAUGCUUAAAUGUCUCUCAUUGUAAACAAUGUGCUUUAGAAUGAGUUGUAACUGAGGGGUGAAUUUUUUUGUACUGCAGGUUCGCAAAAAAUGAAUGCUCCCCUGUGACAAAAAAGAUAUAUUUUAGUCUCUAUCAGAGCUUGGGGAGGGGUACUGGUGGGAAUUUGUUUUCAUGUCAGGAGUGACUUGAGAAACUCCAAGUCGCUUCUGGUGUGAGAGAAUUGGCCAUCUGCAAGGACGUUACCCAGGGGGUGCCCGGAUGUUUUGAUGUUUUACCAUCCUUGUGGGAGGUUUCUCUCAUGUCCCUGCAUGGAGUUGGAGCUCAUAGAAGGAGCUCGUCCGCACUUUCCCCGGGUUGGAUUCGAACCGACAACCUUCAGGUCAGCAACCCAACAUUCAAGUCUUCAGUCUUGCCAGCAUAAGGGUUUAACCCACUGCAUCACCGGGGCAUCACUGGCUGGCAUCACUGGGUUGCUGUGAGUUUUCUGGGCUGUAUGGCCAUGAUCCAGAAGCAUUCUCUCCUGAUGUUUCACCCACAUCUAUGGCAGGCAUCCUCAGAGGUUGUGAGAUAUAUUGGAAACUAAGUCAGUGAGGUUAAUAUAUCUGUAGAUGGACGACCUAGAGAAGCUAUUGAAAUCCACAAGCAUGGUGACAAUUUCAACAGAAAGGAGGAAAUCAUGAACAAAAUCUGGCUACCAGUAUUUUUUAAAACCUCUAAAAUCAGGACAGACGAUAAAUAACAACACUCUGAAAACAGGGGACUUCCAGACAUGAAACAAUCAGGGCCGGCUAACACCUCCCAACAAAGGAUUCCCUCUGACAAGAAUCAGCCAGGCUUUGAAGCUGCAAGGCUUUUCAAUACUAAUCAAGGUGAUUAAUUGCAACAUUCACACUGGCCUCCAACAGACAAGAGUUCUUUCUCCCACCCUGGACCUUCCACAGAUAUAUAAACCCCACUUGCCUGGUUUCCAACAGACCACACAACCUCUGAUGAUGCCUGCCAUAAAUGUGAGUGAAAUGUCAGGAAAGAAUGCUUCUGGAACAUGGCCAUACAUCUUGGAAAACUCACAACAACCCAUUAUAGGAGUUGUAGCCCACAGACUCCUGGAGGGUCACAUUUGAACCCACCCCUAGACUUAUUAGUGUGGCAUUUCAGGGGCAGAAAUAAAUGUAGAGAGCAGAUCUUUGAACAAACCAUGCAUUUUCUCUAACUUACUUGUAGAUGAUCUAACAUUUCUUUACUUGUUGAAUAUACUAUGCACUUUCACUAGGUUUAUCUAAAUAACAAAUCUCAGUGUUGGUUUGAUUUGACAUGUAUUCCCCAAAAGAAUCCUGGAAUUGCAGUUUUUUAAGUGUCGAUAGGAUUCUAUCCUCGGGCUUGCUGCAUCUCAUGCUGUAAUUUCCAUGGUGUUUGGAAAAGCAGAAUAAAUGCUAAACCUUCUUAAGCCAGUGUUAAGUCCAAUAUUAUGCAAGCUGACCUUUCUCAUCUCCACUCUGUAGCCCUCUCCUCCAUUAUCCACACCCAAGAUGCGCUCUAGGCAUUCAUCCAAUCCUCUGGAGCAAAUGUGGGGAUACAGGUUGCAGCCUGCAGGCUUUGGUGAGGAGAGGACAUCUGAUCCACCAGGAAUGAUCCAUCAUACCUUGAUCCAUUCUGCUGGCAAAAACUGUGAAUAUAACCCAUAUAACAUAAUUAUACCAUAAAAGAGCAUUAGUCUCUACCUGUAAAAAUGCAAUACGUCCCACAUUAUAUUGCCUAUGGCUAUUGCAGAUGCCAUAUGAAUUUGUGAGCAUAACAUGCUAAUUCAAAAUUCUAGGUGUUGUGGCUAGAUUAAAAUGACAUCAUUAUCAUGGAAUAUUUUGUACCAUUUGGCGACCUUGCCUCCUCAAUUUUAUUUUUUGAUCUUCAAGCUGUGCAUCUUGAAGGGCUGAUCCAGCGUUGGAAUACAUAAACAGAACUGAACAAGUACAUGUAGAUACUGCUCAUUUCUAUGUGAGCAAUUUAAGUAUGCACUGAAUUUUAGUUGAAUUAUGUCUAGCUGGUUUCUGUUUGUUUGUUUUUAAUGUAGUGUUGAGCAGCAAAUGUGUGUUCUUCCUCUUUUAUAUUUAAUUCUUGGGACCUACUGCAUUACUGAGUAAGGUUUUUUAAUGGAGGAGAAGAUAAAGACGAAUACAGUUGUACCCCUUUCUGCAUUUCAAAUGUGUGAAUUGCUGAGUUGGGGCUUGAAGGUAUGUUGUGCAAUAAAUGAAACAGAGGACCAA